rnacentral:rRNA from 1 species
UGGUCAAGUUAUUAAGGGUGCAGGGCGGAUGCCUUGGCACUAGGAGCCGAUGAAGGACGUGAUAAGCUGCGAUAAGCUUCGGGGAGUUGCACGUAAACUUUGAUCCGAAGAUUUCCGAAUGAGGAAACUCACUUAGAGUAAUGUCUAAGUAUCAUUAAGUGAAUACAUAGCUUAAUGAGGGGAACUCAGGGAACUGAAACAUCUAAGUACCUGAAGGAAGAGAAAGAAAUUCGAUUCCGUAAGUAGCGGCGAGCGAACGCGGAUUAGCCCAAACCAAUAAAGUUUUCUUUAUUGGGGUUGCGGACAUAUCAUAACGAAGAGGUAUCAUAAUUGAAGAGGUUUGGAAAGACCCACCACAGAAGGUAAUAGUCCUGUAUGUUAAACGAGAAGACUUCAGAUAUGAUCCAGAGUACCACGGGACACGUGAAACCCUGUGGGAAGCAGGAGGGACCACCCUCCAAGGCUAAAUACUACCUAGUGACCGAUAGCGUAUAGUACCGUGAGGGAAAGGUGAAAAGAACCCCGGGAGGGGAG